UGGGUAACCUGCCUCAAAGAGGGGAAUAGCCUCCCGAAAGGGAGAUUAAUACCGCAUAAUAUGUUCAAGUCGCAUGACUUUAACAUCAAAGGAUUUUCUUUUAGAAAUUCCACUUUGAGAUGGACCCGCGGCGCAUUAGCUAGUUGGUGAGGUAACGGCUCACCAAGGCAACGAUGCGUAGCCGACCUGAGAGGGUGAUCGGCCACAUUGGAACUGAGACACGAUCCAGAUCCCUACGGG
rnacentral:rRNA from 1 species